rnacentral:RNase_P_RNA from 1 species
GAAAGAUAAUCGCGGAUACCAUUUGCGUAUCUGAGGAAAGUCCGGGCUCCACAGGGCAAUGUGCUGGAUAACGUCCAGCGAGGGUGACCUCAGGGAAAGUGCUAUAGAAACUUAAACCGCCUGCUGUGCAGGUAAGGGUGGAAAGGUGCGGUAAGAGCGCACCAGCAGGCAGGUGACUGUCUGGCUAGGUAAACCCCACAUGGAGCAAGACCGAAUAGGGAAGGGAUGAAGCGGCCCGCAGAGCCUUCCGGGUUGUGUCGCUAGAGCUUAUAGGUAACUAUAAUGCCAAGAUAAAUGAUUAUCGCCACGCAAGUGGAACAAAACUCGGCUUAUUGAUU